UCCUUCGGGUGAUGUGUGAUGAGUCUGUGACCCAAACUUGUAUUAGGCAAGCUGCGGAGUGACGCAGGAAGGUAGCCCAUCCCGGGCGAUGGUAGUCCCGGGCUAAAUGCGUAGGGCGAGGUGUAGGUAAAUCCGCACCUCACGUGCCUGAGACAUGACAGCUGGUUGGUCUACGGACCAACGAGUGGGUGAUCCUAUGCUGCCUAGAAAACCUUCGUGAGCGAGUUAUAGAGCCGCCCGUACCCUAAACCGACACAGGUGGUCAGGUAGAGAAUACCAAGGUGAUCGAGAUAACCAUGGUUAAGGAACUCGGCAAAAUGCCCCCGUAACUUCGGGAUAAGGGGGGCCGGACACGUGAGAUGAAUUUACUUCCUUGAGCGUUGAAGGCCGCAGAGACCAGGCCCAAGCGACUGUUUACUAAAAACAC
rnacentral:rRNA from 1 species